ensembl:lncRNA
AGACGAUGCAUCUCGUACUGCACGCUGGUUUUUAAAUCUUACAGAGGACAAACUCUGCAGGCCGCGGCACGCCUCACAUUUACACAAGCCCACCAACGAGCCGGAGACAAUGAUUAGUUGCUCUCACAGUUUGACGUUUCCCAGAUCGUUCCUUUCGGCGGACCUGUCAGGACACAGUGCCGCGCCGCGGGGCGUAUCCCGCUGAGUGUCGUCAUGGAUCCCGGUGGUUUGGACGCCAUGUUGGGAUGCAAACAUGUUUAGAUCCGCCAACAGCGAUGGGGAAUUUGAGCACAGCGGGAGCUACACAUUCUUUACACCGAGACAAAAAUAUGACACACAAACGCAAAAGCGGCGGUUCGCUGACAGCUCGCGUUUCCUGGGCCCUUCCUUGGAGGCGACAACUCCUCGCCGUGUGCUGGUCGGACAGCGAUCAUGGGAGCCGGCGCCCUGCAGCCCGCCAUUACAGCGGUCCCUUCGGCUGGGUCCAGCUUGGAACCACACUCCCAGGGGCUCAACCCCCAAGCCCCCAACCCCCCCCCUGUCCCUGAGCAGCAGGACACAAUGAUCCGGGUCUCCUCCCCCCUCGCCAAACAAAAUGUACAGUAGUCUCAUGGUCUUCUUUUUGCAGACGAGGACGUUUUUGCAGAGGGGCUCCAGUCAUAUAUAUUUCAAUAGCAAUGCCACAAAAGGGGGGGCGAGAAUGUGUUUGCUUUUGUGUGUGAAGGGAACAUGACAUUUUGUGGUGGAUGGAAAAGGGGGAAUGGUGUGAAAUAUUAAUACGUCAUCUCUGACUGAGGCUGCAUCACAUGAUAUUUGGGUAUUUCCAAGGAUGGUUUUACAACCCGUUGGUCUUAGGAAACACUGAUUCCCUGUACUUAUGACAUAAAUGUGUCAGUCAGGCAUCGUGUUACAUUUGAUGUACGUUAUUAAAAAGAUUUAUUGGAUUGAAGAUACUAUCUCGACUACCUGAAGAUAUCUGCUUACAAGUGAG